GUACUCUCAAGCCUUGCUUGGUGUUGGGUGUUUGUCUAUGCUUAGCCUAGACUCGCCUUAAAUAUAUUGGCAGCCGGUAUACUGGCUUGAAGCGCAGCACAAUUGCAAUUCAGGUUGGCUUAUUAGCAUCCAUAAAGAUCAUCAACAC
rnacentral:misc_RNA from 1 species